UCCCCUCAGGCUAGGUCUCUGGAGCUAUGAACAAGUAGGAGGGGACGAAAAUCAUGCAUCGUAGUGGGCGCUAGAGUGGAGGGGUGACUGUGGAUGUUGACUGUCUCUCUUCAAGUGGGCCUGAUGUAGAUAGGAUGGGAGAGGGAGACAGGGAUGAGGGCAAGAUUACCUGCACCAAUUGAAUUUGGUGUAGUGAUGGCCCUUGCUUCACUCAUUUCCUGCGCUUGCAGAGGAAUUGUCCAGGAGCAGAAGCUGAAGGAGAAAAUGGCAGAUGCGGACCUGAGGAGCCUGGACAUCCUUCUAAGCAGACAUGAAUGGUCCUCAGAUUUCUGCCUCCCGCACAACUGGCUGUGAGUAAGCGGUCAGUGCUUGGAAUCCCUCAUCUGUACUGGCUCCGGUUUUGUUCAGAGGCUCUGAAUUUCCUCAUUGGACACGGUGCUCUGUGGGAUUCAGACGAGGCAAAGGCACAAGUCUCCUGUGCAGAUGCUGGGUUUAGUACCAAGUGGAGAGUCAGAGUCCACUCCGCACAUGCCAUGGAAAGGAAGGCUCUGCUGUGGUUAUGAGGGAGACAAGGUCCCUAUUUUCAGGGGCUUCUCAGUCCUCUGGCCAGUACCGGUGUGUCCUCUGCAGCGGAAGGUUGGAUCCAAGAGGAUGACUCCAGCUGCACUUCCAGAGGAAUUGUCC